rnacentral:rRNA from 1 species
UACGUAGGGUGCAAGCGUUGUCCGGAAUUAUUGGGCGUAAAGAGCUCGUAGGCGGUCUGUCGCGUCGGAUGUGAAAACCCGGGGCUUAACCCCGGGCCUGCAUUCGAUACGGGCAGACUCGAGUGUGGUAGGGGAGACCGGAACUCCUGGUGUAGCGGUGAAAUGCGCAGAUAUCAGGAAGAACACCGGUGGCGAAGGCGGGUCUCUGGGCCACUACUGACGCUGAGGAGCGAAAGCGUGGGGAGCGAACAGG